rnacentral:rRNA from 1 species
UACAGAGGGUGCGAGCGUUAAUCGGAAUUACUGGGCGUAAAGCGCGCGUAGGCGGCUUUGCAAGUCGGGCGUGAAAUCCCCAGGCUUAACCUGGGAACUGCAUUCGAGACUGCAUUGCUAGAGUAUGGGAGAGGGAAGUGGAAUUUCCGGUGUAGCGGUGAAAUGCGUAGAUAUCGGAAGGAACAUCAGUGGCGAAAGCGACUUCCCGGACCAAUACUGACGCUCAUGUGCGAAAGCGUGGGGAGCAAACAGG